rnacentral:tRNA from 1 species
GGGGUUGUAGCUUAGUGACAUAGUGCUUGCCUAGCAUGUGGGAGGCACUGGGUUCGAUUCUCAGCACCUCA